UUACAUAUUUGGUCACUUCACUGGUAUCUUCCUAGUAAGUUUGUAGUCUAUUCUCUGUACAUGAGGACCAGACCUAAGGUUUAUCCUAAAGUCAUCCUACCAGCCCUAGCCAGUGGCAUCAUAUGGGGGAUAGUCAUGUGAAUGUUAUGUGACCUUUCAAAUCUUCCCCCUCUCUCUUUAGCUGGCUGGUUUGUAGCUAAUGAGAAUUUAUCACUAGCUGUUAGCUUCCCAAUAAUUACAGCUGGUCCAGGAUUUAUUAGUUCAGCCUGGGGUAUUUUGCUGUACAGAGAGAUCAAGGAAUGAAAAAAACAUUAGUCUUUAUUUUGGUGGUUUUUCGUUUCAGUCUGGAUGCUCUCUCCCAUAACAAGGUUCCAUGUUAAUGAUGCAUAAGAUAAAAAUGAUGAGGAGGCCAACAAAAAUAUAGGAAUAAUUAACUGCUGAUUGUGUAACCUUAUUAUUAUUAUUGUUCCUAUUUAUUUAAA